rnacentral:rRNA from 2 species
GACGAACCGUGCGAACGUUGUUCGGAAUCACUGGGCUUAAAGGGAGCGUAGGCGGGCUAUCAAGUCUGGGGUGAAAUGCCACGGCUCAACCGUGGAACUGCCUUAGAUACUGACGGCCUCGAGGGAGAUAGGGGCAUGCGGAACUGUAGGUGGAGCGGUGAAAUGCGUUGAUAUCUACAGGAACUCCGGUGGCGAAAGCGGCGUGCUGGAUCUCUUCUGACGCUGAGGCUCGAAAGCUAGGGGAGCAAACGGG